GGAGAGAUGGCUGAGUGGUUGA
rnacentral:tRNA from 2 species